rnacentral:rRNA from 1 species
GUAACUGCGAGUGAAGCGGGAACAGCUCAAAUUUAAAAUCUGACGGCCCUCGGUCGUCCGAGUUGUAACCUGGAGAAGUGGAUGCCCGCGCUGGACCGUGAACAAGUCUCCUGGGAGGGAGCAUCGAAGAGGGUGAGAAUCCCGUCCGUGUCAUGGACNGCCAGCGCAGUGUGGUUCCACUCUCGAAGAGUUGAGUUGUUUGGGAAUGCAGCUCGAAAAGGGUGGUAAAUUCCAUCUAAAGCUAAAUAUUGGCGAGAGACCGAUAGCGAACAAGUACCGUGAGGGAAAGAUGAAAAGAACUUUGGAAAGAGAGUUAAACAGUGCGUGAAAUUGUUGAAAGGGAAACGCUUCAAGUCAGUCGCGUUGGUCGGAGAUCAAGCUGGCAGCAAAGCCGGUUGCACUUUCUGACUGACGGGCCAACAUGAGUUUUGGUCGCUGGAGAAAGGCACGGGGAAUGUGGCACCUUCCGAGGUGUGUUAAAGCCCCGAGUCAGAUGGGCAGCGGUCGGGACUGAGGAAAGCAGCGCGCCGCAAGGCAGGGUUUCGACGACUUUCGCGCUGAGGAUGGUGGCAAAAUGGCUUGAAGCGACCCGUCUUGAAACACGGACCAAGGAGUCCAUCGUGCUUGCGAGUGUUUGGGUGGAAAACCCGGGCGCGAAAUGAAAGUGAAAGUUGAGAUCCCCGGA